GAUGAACGCUGGCGGCGUGCCUAAUACAUGCAAGUCGAGCGAACAGACGAGGAGCUUGCUCCUCUGACGUUAGCGGCGGACGGGUGAGUAACACGUGGAUAACCUACCUAUAAGACUGGGAUAACUUCGGGAAACCGGAGCUAAUACCGGAUAAUAUAUUGAACUGCAUGGUUCAAUAGUGAAAGACGGUUUUGCUGUCACUUAUAGAUGGAUCCGCGCCGCAUUAGCUAGUUGGUAAGGUAACGGCUUACCAAGGCAACGAUGCGUAGCCGACCUGAGAGGGUGAUCGGCCACACUGGAACUGAGACACGGUCCAGACUCCUACGGGAGGCAGCAGUAGGGAAUCUUCCGCAAUGGGCGAAAGCCUGACGGAGCAACGCCGCGUGAGUGAUGAAGGUCUUCGGAUCGUAAAACUCUGUUAUUAGGGAAGAACAAAUGUGUAAGUAACUAUGCACGUCUUGACGGUACCUAAUCAGAAAGCCACGGCUAACUACGU
rnacentral:rRNA from 1 species